AUGGACUCCGGAGCCAUGGUUAAUGGUUCGGCGAAAUAUACCUAUUUGAUCUCAUUAAAAAGGUCUUAUACCACCAUGAUGGCACAUUUACUGGUCCACCCCACUUCUAUAUUUAAAUGGGUUGAGCUCAACAAAACAGGGACACUGAGCCCCCCUCUUACCGGGAUCAUCUGUCUGCCUGGUGGACGAGCUGCGUCCUGCCCACUGCACCCAAUUCACAUAGAAAUUUACUCAAAUACUACAGAGGGUUUCAGGAGGAAGGAUUGCUGGAAGAGAUCAGCGGGACUCACUGAGUGGGCAGAGAAAAAUAGCCAGGCCAGUGAAGAUGGAUGGGUGACAGUCCCAUUGGUCACAGCGAUUCAGCACUCAGUCACCACGGAGACAAGCAGUGAAACCAGGAUUGCUGAAAGCCAAAUGAUUUGUGCUGUGAAAAAAAUUUAUAUUUUAGAUCAUUUUCUUAAACAUAAUUUAAUUUAUCAUGUAAAGUAAUGGAGCUUAAGCACAUUAAAUAAAUGCUCACCAUCAAAAUGGUGAUGUGAUAAG
ensembl:lncRNA